AUAGUCGGAACGUAUUUACAUAAUAAUGUAAUCCAGUUCUUUAUACUCGAGGUGGCCUCAAACAGAAUUGAACAAAGACUUCCUACCGAGUUACUAAUGGACUACAAAUGAGACGCUUCAAGGAUUUGCUUGAAUAGACAUUAUAUAAUUUUAUAUCGACAACCGUGAGAACGAAUUAGACGUGUAAAAUUGCAAAAUGAAUUUUCAAAUGUUCAAAAUGUGUGCACCCGAUAGUCAUAGUAUCUAACUAUUCAAUCAUCUUUUAAAUAUAGCCACAAUUAUCAAGUUUCGGGAAUCAUUACAAAAUCAGAUGGUGGUCAACUUGUCGGGCACCUCUAAGAACCAGAGCAUAUAUACAGCAUCUCUUGAUUUACAAUUAUUUUAGUUAUAUCAUUCACCAAAUUCAUUGGACAACAAUUACAUAUUGAUAAGAAUUAUUUUCUCUCCAAGAUAACUGCAAGUUGAUCACCAUCUGCUGCACGAUAGUGGUGAGCGGAACGACAGGCGGGGCACAGAUGAAAUUCACCCACAUAUAAUUCGGCGUCUGAAUGCCAAUGAUCAUUACUGU